UACGGAGGGGGCUAGCGUUGUUCGGAAUUACUGGGCGUAAAGCGCGCGUAGGCGGACCUGCAAGUCGGGGGUGAAAGCCCGAGGCUCAACCUCGGAACUGCCUUCGAUACUGCGGGUCUCGAGUCCGGGAGAGGUGAGUGGAAUUCCUAGUGUAGAGGUGAAAUUCGUAGAUAUUAGGAAGAACACCAGUGGCGAAGGCGGCUCACUGGCCCGGUACGUGACGCUGAGGCGCGAAAGCCAGGGGAGCAAAGCGGGGAUUAAGAAAC
rnacentral:rRNA from 1 species